UAUGCUGGGGAUUGAACCCAGGGCCUCACACAUGCUAGUUAAGAGCUAUACUUUCAAUCCCUGUUGGAGGUUUUGUCUGUCUUCAAAGUUGCCCCAUUUUCACAGGGUCUCCUUGAGGAGAAGGCUGGGAGAAUUUCUUGCCUGGCUGCCAGAUGUGGAAACCAAGGCCCAGUCAAAAACAACAAGCUCCAGGAUGAGCUAUUUGAUCCUCUCACAGGGGUGCUGCUAAAAAUAACUCCUGGGACCCAGAAUAGGAAGGGAGAAUUCUGGGGCAAGCAUUGACAUUUUCCUUCUUCCUUGACCGCUGGGUGGGUGUUAUGUGCAGCAGCCCUUGACAGUGUGACGCAGACUGGGUGAGAGGGAGGAAAGGCAUCAGUGUCAGGCCUAGAAUGAGGGCUGACCUUGCCUGAAAUUUAGUGGUUUGGCUCUCUCUGCCCAGGGCCAAGGCAGGAGAUAAGAUAAGUUUGUAAAGCACAUGGAAGAAGGAGGAAGGGAAAAGGAAGAUGGGCGGGGGGUAAGGACCAGAAAAAGGAGAGGGGAAGAUGAAGGAAGGAGGCAGAGGGAAAGAAGCUGUCCAGGAAAGGGAUUGCAACUGGCUCAGCAUGGGCCAGACGCAUCUCAAAGACAAGAGAGGCAAUUCCCACUUCUGAUACAAAACCUGAGGCUUGUUCAAGAACUCAGAGUCAGAAUGUGGCAGAUCUAGGAUUAGAAUGCAUUAGCAUCUCGACCUUCAAGGUCUCAAACCUUGACUGAGUAAGGCAGAACAUCCCAACAUGUGGCUCCAAGACACUCUAACCCCACAGAAUCAAAGGAAAAUGGCCCAGGAACCUGCAUUUUGUGCAAUACUCUGGUGGUGGUUCUUCGGGUCCUGACACUGCGAAGUUCUGUGGCUCGUGUAGGGCCUCUCUGGUUUAACCUCCUAUCCCAUUUUCUGGUUUAACCCUUGUAACAACUAUCAGGCUGACUCACAUCCCCUAUUCCCAUAGGCCUGGGCUUUUCCUACUCCAGGCUUCACCCAGCAGUCUCUCAGUGCUCUCUGGAUCCACCCUUCCAGCCAGCACCUACUUCUCUUCUGGACGACUUCCUGGUAGCUGGGAUCCCCCUCCUUCUUGUUGAAGUAAUAGCCUCCUCCAUCUGGAAUUGUUUACAACAUUCUAUUUCACUUUUCUUAUGAGUCUGCCUGUUUCCCACCCUUUCUAUUAAACAGGAAACUCCCAAAGGGCUGGAGUCUGUUGGUUUAAACAAUAAGGCUGUGCAAUCUAUGACUUCACCUAGCCCUCCUGCCAACCACAAGUGGCAGGGCUGGGAGAGCGUUACAAAUGAGGAAACCUAGCCUGAGUGAAGCUGUGUGGCCUGCCCAUGGCCACAAUCAUGUAAGAUUCAGAGCUGAUUUUGGAAACCAUGUGUUGCUUCAAUGUUCAGUUCUUUCAGCUUCUGCUUUGCCACUGAUCACCCAAACAGCCCUGAGAGGCAACCAGAACAGGAGAUCCGUUGCCCAGAUAAGGAAAAUGAGGCUCAGAGAAGAGUAAAGAACCCAACACUAGCUGCCCUGUGUUUGAGUCCAAGGGUUGAUCUUUCUCUCUGGUUGAUGGGUACUGCCUGGGACUCCCUUAGCAGAAUGGAGCCGAGCAGGGUCUUGGACUCCCUGAUCAGAGCCCUCAUUAUGGAUUGGUCCCAGUGCCACUCUGGUGCUCCUCUGCAGACGGAAACUCAUCUUGCCAGCCUUGUGGCUGGCUGGGGCUUAGAGGGAGGGAAUUGGGAAGUACCUGGACACACCUUGAUCGUCAUCACUCUGAACUUUGUCCUUGUUAUUAAUGCUUAGUUGGGGAAGGUGCAACCUGAAUGGUCCUUUCCCCAAGUGGAGGAGGACAGCUCUGAGCUUGGCACAGGCCCAGCCUAGCCCAAGCUGGGAAGGGUGUGAAGCAAUAAGGUUAAGCUGGGUUCCUGAGAGGUGUGGUCUUGGGAAGCCUCCUUUUGAGGUGUGGCCCAGCUCUGAACUCUGGGAUGGAAUCCUAAACCAUCCAGCUGGUGCCCAGAAUGGCCAGCAAGGACUUUGGACAACAAUCAAUGGAAAAUAAAAAUAAUAACAAAUAUGUGUUAACCCCUAACUGCAUGUCAUACCCUGUGCAGCUCUCUCCAUCACCUGGGUGCUCCAGACUAUGAAGUGAGGGUUGAAUCCAGCCAUGUUUCUCUGUAACCUACUCGGCAUCCUCUCAUCAUCUUUGAACAGAAAGUGCCAUUCUGCUUCUGCUUCUUACUCUUCAAUUUGCUGCAGCCCCUUGAACCCCCACCAAGACCACUCCGAUCCUUGGACGAUUCAGAAGCACUUCCUCUGGGAAGUCCUCUCUUGCUGUCACUAAAGCAAGUCCCCAGCGGUGCGGGUUCAGCUUAAGAUCCAGUCUCAGUCAUGAGCUUUGUAAUGUUUUGAACAACCAAUAAAAAAAAAAAAAAAGAUCCAAUCUCAGAAACCCUUCCAUGUUUUUUUGUUUUGUUUUGUUUUUGUACUGGUGAUUGAACCUUGGGGACACUUUACCACUGAUCUAUAUCCCCAGUUCUUUUUGUUUGUUUGUUUAAUUUUGAGACAGGAUCUCUCUAAAUUGCUCAGACUGGCCUCGAACUUGCAAUCCUCCUGCCCUGACAUCCAGAGUUGCUGGGAUUACACGCAUGAACCAUCACGGCCGGCUAAGAAAUCCGUUUUUACUAAGUAGGGCGCCCCCCCUCCCCCGC
rnacentral:lncRNA from 1 species